UUAUAAGCAAACAAAAUACAAAGUAAAUCCACCUAUAUUAAUGUAAUCAACUGUAAUUAAAACAGAUUAUUUAAGAAUAACACUUAACAAGUAUUAUCAUUAUGUAAUUAAUAACUGAUUUAUUCUUUUUCUAGAUCUAUGAUAACUUCAUUUCUAUAGAGAGAAUUUCAUCAAACAACUUGUCAGUUUUAUUCAAGUUCAAGGUAACUUGCUUCAUGAAAAGAUUCAAAAAGGCAAAGAUGGGAAUUUCUGUUAAAGAUUUCUUUUACGUUCAAAAAAAUUUCUUGAUUCGGGUAAGUUUAUACGUUGAUAUAUUACCUCUGAGCAAUGAGCCAAUUGUUCUUAUUUCCAGGUGGUCAGUGCUUUAUACUCCAUUUUUUCUUCGGUGUUGCAAGUCACAGGAGUGAUGAACAAACAUAAGUCAUGUGUCAAAACGUCUACAUUCGAGUCUACCGUAGAAUCCAACAUCAAUUUUAUUUUUUCGGCUAUUAUAUCAUCGAACAGAGUACGUUCUCGGCGGUAAUAAUAUUGUAAUCGUGUCGUACAAUGACGCUCCGAGUUUUCAAUAUUUCGACGUCUUGACUCACCUGAAUUCAAAAAUAUCAAAAAGCUGAUACUGUAUGUAUACGUGUGGAAUAUCGUAUAAAUUUGCAUUGGACUCGUCGAAUAUCUGUGGAUGACAUAAAGAUUAAGAACCGACACUUGACACGGUAGCUUGUAUAUAGGAGGUAUCGAUGUUAUUAAAUUGAUAAGAUUAAUAAUCGAGAAAAAAUAAAGAAUCAUGUAUUACAUCUGUAUUGGAGUGUGGUUUAAUCAAAAUUUUACUCGUUUUUGAUAUGUAUAAACCCAUCUUUACUCUCGAAAUUUAGCCUUUUGCCUACUUAUAAUAAGUAGAAAUAAAAGUCAUUUUUCACAUAAAAUCUCAUAACGAAUGUUGCCAUAUAUAACUUAAACUUUGUGCUACUGUGUAUUAUUCUUUCUGAAACAAAGUAUUUCUCAGUGUCAAAGUUAAGCAACUCGUUUACUUUCGUCGUUUAUCCUGCGAAUAAAAUAGGCGUAUAUAGAAAAAUUUUAUGCUUUUCAAUAAUGUAUAUUUAGAAUUGUAUUACAUAAUUAGUAGAGCAAGUGCAGCAGGAUAACAUUUUAAGCUUACGUCAACAAUUCAAAUUUAAUAUAAUUACAAAUUUAUUAUACAAAAUGACACAGACAAGUCUUAAAACACACAGUAGUGCUCUACAGUAUAAUUCCCGUUAGUAUUCAACCGCAAACUUUAGUUAAAUUCUUAAAAUGUGAAAAAAUAUGUAAUUCGUGAAAAAUUUUAGUGUAAAUAGAAUUUGUAAUAAUUUCUGUUUUGACAGAUCUACAAGAUCGAGUAAAACACUAAAGUUUUAUGAGUGACACAAAGUCGAAGGAAACAUUAAUUUAAAUUAAAAAAAGUAUUUUUUCACUUAAUUAGGGGAGACCGGGGCAAGAUCGGCAUGUUAAGCU